rnacentral:rRNA from 1 species
UACGUAGGGUGCAAGCGUUAAUCGGAAUUACUGGGCGUAAAGCGUGCGCAGGCGGUGAUGUAAGUCAGAUGUGAAAUCCCCGGGCUCAACCUGGGAACUGCAUUUGUGACUGCAUCGCUGGAGUGCGGCAGAGGGGGAUGGAAUUCCGCGUGUAGCAGUGAAGUGCGUAGAUAUGCGGAGGAACACCGAUGGCGAAGGCAAUCCCCUGGGCCUGCACUGACGCUCAUGCACGAAAGCGUGGGGAGCAAACAGG